rnacentral:rRNA from 1 species
UACGAAGGGGGCUAGCGUUGUUCGGAAUUACUGGGCGUAAAGCGUGCGCAGGCGGCUUCUCAAGUCAGGGGUGAAAGCCCAGAGCUCAACUCUGGAAUUGCCUUUGAGACUGAGUGGCUUGAGUACGAGAGAGGUGAGUGGAAUUCCCAGUGUAGAGGUGAAAUUCGUAGAUAUUGGGAAGAACACCGGUGGCGAGGGCGGCUCACUGGUCCAUUACUGACGCUGAGGUGCGAAAGCGUGGGGAGCAAACAGG